GGGCCUAUAGUUUAACGGUAGAAUAUCUCGAUGGCAUCGAGAAGACCGGGGUUCAAUUCCCCGUAGGUCCACCA
rnacentral:tRNA from 1 species